UACGGGGGGGGUAAGCGUUGUUCGGAAUUACUGGGCGUAAAGGGCGCGUAGGCGGUCUUUCAAGUCCCGUGUGAAAUCCCUCGGCUCAACUGAGGAACUGCACGGGAAACUGUCUGGCUUGAGUUCGGGAGAGGGAAGCGGAAUUCCGGGUGUAGCGGUGAAAUGCGUAGAUAUCCGGAGGAACACCGGUGGCGAAGGCGGCUUCCUGGACCGACACUGACGCUGAGGCGCGAAAGCUAGGGGAGCAAACAGG
rnacentral:rRNA from 1 species